AUUGAACGCUGGCGGCAUGCUUUACACAUGCCAGUCGAACGGCAGCGAGAGAGAAGCCUGCUUCUCUUGUCGGCGAGUGGCGAACGGGUGAGUAAUACAUCGGAACGUACCCUGUAGUGGGUGAUAACUACUCAAAAGAGUAGCUAAUACCGCAUACAACCCGCGGGUCAACGUGGGGGACCUCCAGGCCUCACGCCACAGGAGCGGCCGCCGGAAGAUAAGCUAGUUGGUAGGGUAAAGGCCUACCAAGGCGACGAUCGUUAGCGGGUCUGAGAGGACGCUCCGCCACACUGGGAAGGGGACACGGCCCAGACUCCUACGGGAGGCAGCAGUGGGGAAUUUUGGACAAUGGGCGAAAGCCUGAGCCAGCAAUGCCGCGUGAGUGAAGAAGGCCUUCGGGUUGUAAAGCUCUUUCGGCCGGGAAGAAAUCGCACGGGCUAAUACCCUGUGUGGAUGACGGUACCGGAAUAAGAAGCACCGGCUAACUACGUGCCAGCCGCCGCAGUAAUAC
rnacentral:rRNA from 1 species